UUGCAAAUUUAAAAUACAUUGGCCUGAGUUGCUCUGAGCAUCUACUUAAAAUCCCAGAAUCUUGCAAACACAGUAUCUUGUUAAUUUAAUUAAAUGUAGCAGCUGACUUCCUUAAAUCAAUGUUUUGCUCGAUGUGGCAUAAGGUGUGGCACUCAGAAAAGAUUCAUCACCAGGUAAGUGCUUUGUAGCUAAAUUUCCAUGUUGUUGAAGCAAUUUUCAUGCCAAGCCUGAGAAAUAAAUAUUCUGGUCUAGAAAAAAUGGUUUAAAAUAAAAUUUGCAGAAGCUGUGUAAUAUUCAGUGGCCAAAAAAAAAAAAAAUUAGCAUACAAUCCAGCAAUUAUAAUCGAAUUUGGGAAAGAAACGCCAGAAUCAUCACUAAAACGUGUUAAAUCUGCAUUAUAGUUCAAGUAACUGUUGCUGAAUUGCAAUAAAUAUUUAAUCAUCUUCUUUUGGCCAUGUCGAGCUGCCUCAAUCAAAGGAAUUCUUUUUUCAUUAUUUGAAUCUUGAAUUAACGUUUUAUAUCGUUCAUCAAUAUCAUGGAGGCUGCUAGGAGAUUUCCCACAAUUGCAGCAAUGGUUCUGGUUAUCCAUUGGUCACACAAGAUGAUUUGCUCCAUAUGUUGUCAACUAUACCAUUACAUGCAUUAGAAUGGAUUAUUAUUGAUCUAGAUUGGGAUCCACAGAUCAGACAACGUCUUUAUUAUUAUGUGAAAGUGCAUGUGUCCCGUGCAUUUCUAUUAGAAACUUAAAACUAGAUAGAUGUCUGGAGAAUAUGGGGUCAUAUGAUCUAUUACUGCUCUAUUUUAUAUUGGUUUCUCUAGCACUUUUUCUAUUACAUUCAUAUCUCCUGGUCUCUCUUGUACGCACAGGUAAGUCGCAUGUUUGUUGAAAUUGAUUACAUACUAGAGAGGAAGAAUGUUGAAUGUUUUGCUUCUCUUUAUGGUUUCUACCAUGUAAGUUCUUCCGUCUGUAGUAGUCACUGCAUUAUUGUUCAUUUACAAGAGUUUUUUUAUCUAUUCUUUGUUGUGAGAUAGAAUCGUCUGUGAAUACUGAAUUCAUGUUACAUAAAAAAACACUUAUGCCA